rnacentral:rRNA from 1 species
GGUUAAGCGACUAAGCGUACACGGUGGAUGCCCUGGCAGUCAGAGGCGAUGAAGGACGUGCUAAUCUGCGAUAAGCGUCGGUAAGGUGAUAUGAACCGUUAUAACCGGCGAUUUCCGAAUGGGGAAACCCAGUGUGUUUCGACACACUAUCAUUAACUGAAUCCAUAGGUUAAUGAGGCGAACCGGGGGAACUGAAACAUCUAAGUACCCCGAGGAAAAGAAAUCAACCGAGAUUCCCCCAGUAGCGGCGAGCGAACGGGGAGCAGCCCAGAGCCUGAAUCAGUGUGUGUGUUAGUGGAAGCGUCUGGAAAGGCGCGCGAUACAGGGUGACAGCCCCGUACACAAAAAUGCACAUGCUGUGAGCUCGAUGAGUAGGGCGGGACACGUGGUAUCCUGUCUGAAUAUGGGGGGACCAUCCUCCAAGGCUAAAUACUCCUGACUGACCGAUAGUGAACCAGUACCGUGAGGGAAAGGCGAAAAGAACCCCGGCGAGGGGAGUGAAAAAGAACCUGAAACCGUGUACGUACAAGCAGUGGGAGCACGCUUAGGCGUGUGACUGCGUACCUUUUGUAUAAUGGGUCAGCGACUUAUAUUCUGUAGCAAGGUUAACCGAAUAGGGGAGCCGAAGGGAAACCGAGUCUUAACUGGGCGUUAAGUUGCAGGGUAUAGACCCGAAACCCGGUGAUCUAGCCAUGGGCAGGUUGAAGGUUGGGUAACACUAACUGGAGGACCGAACCGACUAAUGUUGAAAAAUUAGCGGAUGACUUGUGGCUGGGGGUGAAAGGCCAAUCAAACCGGGAGAUAGCUGGUUCUCCCCGAAAGCUAUUUAGGUAGCGCCUCGUGAAUUCAUCUCCGGGGGUAGAGCACUGUUUCGGCAAGGGGGUCAUCCCGACUUACCAACCCGAUGCAAACUGCGAAUACCGGAGAAUGUUAUCACGGGAGACACACGGCGGGUGCUAACGUCCGUCGUGAAGAGGGAAACAACCCAGACCGCCAGCUAAGGUCCCAAAGUCAUGGUUAAGUGGGAAACGAUGUGGGAAGGCCCAGACAGCCAGGAUGUUGGCUUAGAAGCAGCCAUCAUUUAAAGAAAGCGUAAUAGCUCACUGGUCGAGUCGGCCUGCGCGGAAGAUGUAACGGGGCUAAACCAUGCACCGAAGCUGCGGCAGCGACACUAUGUGUUGUUGGGUAGGGGAGCGUUCUGUAAGCCUGUGAAGGUGUGCUGUGAGGCAUGCUGGAGGUAUCAGAAGUGCGAAUGCUGACAUAAGUAACGAUAAAGCGGGUGAAAAGCCCGCUCGCCGGAAGACCAAGGGUUCCUGUCCAACGUUAAUCGGGGCAGGGUGAGUCGACCCCUAAGGCGAGGCCGAAAGGCGUAGUCGAUGGGAAACAGGUUAAUAUUCCUGUACUUGGUGUUACUGCGAAGGGGGGACGGAGAAGGCUAUGUUGGCCGGGCGACGGUUGUCCCGGUUUAAGCGUGUAGGCUGGUUUUCCAGGCAAAUCCGGAAAAUCAAGGCUGAGGCGUGAUGACGAGGCACUACGGUGCUGAAGCAACAAAUGCCCUGCUUCCAGGAAAAGCCUCUAAGCAUCAGGUAACAUCAAAUCGUACCCCAAACCGACACAGGUGGUCAGGUAGAGAAUACCAAGGCGCUUGAGAGAACUCGGGUGAAGGAACUAGGCAAAAUGGUGCCGUAACUUCGGGAGAAGGCACGCUGAUAUGUAGGUGAGGUCCCUCGCGGAUGGAGCUGAAAUCAGUCGAAGAUACCAGCUGGCUGCAACUGUUUAUUAAAAACACAGCACUGUGCAAACACGAAAGUGGACGUAUACGGUGUGACGCCUGCCCGGUGCCGGAAGGUUAAUUGAUGGGGUUAGCGCAAGCGAAGCUCUUGAUCGAAGCCCCGGUAAACGGCGGCCGUAACUAUAACGGUCCUAAGGUAGCGAAAUUCCUUGUCGGGUAAGUUCCGACCUGCACGAAUGGCGUAAUGAUGGCCAGGCUGUCUCCACCCGAGACUCAGUGAAAUUGAACUCGCUGUGAAGAUGCAGUGUACCCGCGGCAAGACGGAAAGACCCCGUGAACCUUUACUAUAGCUUGACACUGAACAUUGAGCCUUGAUGUGUAGGAUAGGUGGGAGGCUUAGAAGUGUGGACGCCAGUCUGCAUGGAGCCGACCUUGAAAUACCACCCUUUAAUGUUUGAUGUUCUAACGUUGACCCGUAAUCCGGGUUGCGGACAGUGUCUGGUGGGUAGUUUGACUGGGGCGGUCUCCUCCUAAAGAGUAACGGAGGAGCACGAAGGUUGGCUAAUCCUGGUCGGACAUCAGGAGGUUAGUGCAAUGGCAUAAGCCAGCUUGACUGCGAGCGUGACGGCGCGAGCAGGUGCGAAAGCAGGUCAUAGUGAUCCGGUGGUUCUGAAUGGAAGGGCCAUCGCUCAACGGAUAAAAGGUACUCCGGGGAUAACAGGCUGAUACCGCCCAAGAGUUCAUAUCGACGGCGGUGUUUGGCACCUCGAUGUCGGCUCAUCACAUCCUGGGGCUGAAGUAGGUCCCAAGGGUAUGGCUGUUCGCCAUUUAAAGUGGUACGCGAGCUGGGUUUAGAACGUCGUGAGACAGUUCGGUCCCUAUCUGCCGUGGGCGCUGGAGAACUGAGGGGGGCUGCUCCUAGUACGAGAGGACCGGAGUGGACGCAUCACUGGUGUUCGGGUUGUCAUGCCAAUGGCACUGCCCGGUAGCUAAAUGCGGAAGAGAUAAGUGCUGAAAGCAUCUAAGCACGAAACUUGCCCCGAGAUGAGUUCUCCCUGACCCUUUAAGGGUCCUGAAGGAACGUUGAAGACGACGACGUUGAUAGGCCGAGUGUGUAAGCGCAGCGAUGCGUUGAGCUAACCGGUACUAAUGAACCGUGAGGCUUAACCUU